rnacentral:rRNA from 1 species
GACGAACGCUGGCGGCGUGCUUAACACAUGCAAGUCGAACGAAAGGACGGGAAGAGCUUGCUCUUUCCGGAAUUGGGUGGCAAACGGGUGAGUAACACGUAAACAACCUGCCUUCAGGAUGGGGACAACAGACGGAAACGACUGCUAAUACCGAAUAAGUUCCAAGAGCCGCAUGGCCCAUGGAAGAAAAGGUGGCCUCUACCUGUAAGCUAUCGCCUGAAGAGGGGUUUGCGUCUGAUUAGCUGGUUGGAGGGGUAACGGCCCACCAAGGCGACGAUCAGUAGCCGGUCUGAGAGGAUGAACGGCCACACUGGAACUGAGACACGGCCCAAACUCCUACGGGAGGCAGCAGUGGGGAAUAUUGCACAAUGGGGGAAACCCUGAUGCAGCGACGCCGCGUGAGUGAAGAAGUAUUUCGGUAUGUAAAGCUCUAAUCAGCAGGGAAGAAAAAAUGAACGGUACCUGACUAAGAAGCCCCGGCUAACCUACGUG